rnacentral:rRNA from 1 species
CUACGGGAUGCUGCAGUGGGGAAUAUUGCACAAUGGGCGCAAGCCUGAUGCAGCCAUGCCGCGUGUAUGAAGAAGGCCUUCGGGUUGUAAAGUACUUUCAGCGGGGAGGAAGGGAGUAAAGUUAAUACCUUUGCUCAUUGACGUUACCCGCAGAAGAAGCACCGGCUAACUCCGUGCCAGCAGCCGCGGUAAUACGGAGGGUGCGAGCGUUAAUCGGAAUUACUGGGCGUAAAGCGCACGCAGGCGGUUUGUUAAGUCAGAUGUGAAAUCCCCGGGCUCAACCUGGGAACUGCAUCUGAUACUGGCAAGCUUGAGUGUCGUAGAGGGGGGUAGAAUUCCAGGUGUAGCGGUGAAAUGCGUAGAGAUCUGGAGGAAUACCGGUGGCGAAGGCGGCCCCCUGGACGAAGACUGACGCUCAGGUGCGAAAGCGUGGGGAGCAAACAGGAUUAGAUACCCGCGUAGUC